rnacentral:misc_RNA from 1 species
UCUCCGUUGGUGAACCAGCGGAGGGAUCAUUACCAGAGUUUUACAACUCCCAACCCUUCUGUGAACCUACCUAUCGUUGCUUCGGCGGACUCGCCCCAGCGUCCGGUCGGCCCCGCGCCGGCUCGCGUCCUGGACCCAGGCGGCCGCCAGCGACCACACAAUCCUGUAUCCAUCAGUCUCUCUGCUUCCGCCGCAUGGUAGAACAAACGAAUCAAAACUUUCAACAACGGAUCUCUUGGUUCUG